rnacentral:rRNA from 1 species
UACAGAGGGUGAAAGCGGUAAUCGGAAUUACUGGGCGUAAAGCGUGCGUAGGUGGUUCUUUAAGUCAGGGGUGAAAUCCCCGGGCUCAACCUGGGAACUGCAUUUGAUACUGAAGAGCUAGAGUGUGGUAGAGGAUAGUGGAAUUCCCGGUGUAGCGGUGAAAUGCGUAGAUAUCGGGAGGAACAUCAGUGGCGAAGGCGGCUAUCUGGACCAACACUGACACUGAGGCACGAAAGCGUGGGUAGCAAACAGG